rnacentral:rRNA from 1 species
ACGAACGCUGGCGGCGUGCUUCACACCUGCAAGUCGAACGGAAAGGCCCUGCUUUUGUGGGGUGCUCGAGUGGCGAACGGGUGAGUAACACGUGAGUAACCUGCCCUUGACUUUGGGAUAACUUCAGGAAACUGGGGCUAAUACCGGAUAGGAGCUCCUGCUGCAUGGUGGGGGUUGGAAAGUUUCGGCGGUUGGGGAUGGACUCGCGGCUUAUCAGCUUGUUGGUGGGGUAGUGGCUUACCAAGGCUUUGACGGGUAGCCGGCCUGAGAGGGUGACCGGCCACAUUGGGACUGAGAUACGGCCCAGACUCCUACGGGAGGCAGCAGUGGGGAAUAUUGCACAAUGGGCGGAAGCCGGAUGCAGCAACGCCGCGUGCGGGAUGACGGCCUUCGGGUUGUAAACCGCUUUCGCCUGUGACGAAGCGUGAGUGACGGUAAUGGGUAAAGAAGCACCGGCUAACUACGU